GGAAGAAAACCCUAGAAAGGGUGUGGGAGCUCAUUCGGGAAUGGGGGCAUCAUAUGCCAAAAAAUAUAUGAGGCCUCGACCAGAAAGGCAACCCGAAUUUCUAGGGUUUUCUCAACCCGACCCGACCCAUCUCGACCCGACCCGGAAUGAACCAAAUCAGGCAACCCGACCCGACCCAAUGAUCCAUGGUCUUCAUGGGCUGGACCUCUCCGCUGGGCCAAGCCCAUUCUUCACUCAAGCCCAGCAGGCCCAUUCUCCAAUCAAGCCCAGCAGGCCCA
rnacentral:lncRNA from 1 species